AUUUUCGGUUUAUAAUCCAACACGGCGGUUCUGUUCUUCGUUUCACCGGUGACGAACAAAAGCAAAUCCAGCUCUUCACUUUCUCUUUCCAAGUUGGAUCUGAUCGGCAGACGUGAAGCUUCUGUUGGAUAGUUUCAACCAUGGGUCUGUAAAGGAUAUCCAUUCAUGAGGAUUUGGUUUCACUUUCCAAAGUUCUCCAGGAUUGGGAUACAUGAAAAUAUUCAAUUUGUUCUCUUAAUAAGUCGACAAGGAAAGGUUAGACUGACAAAAUGGUAUUCACCUUAUUCCCAAAAGGAACGAACUAAGGUUAUAAGAGAGCUGAGCGGGAUGAUUCUCACACGUGGUCCCAAGCUUUGCAAUUUUGUUGAGUGGAAGGGAUUUAAAGUUGUUUAUAAAAGAUAUGCAAGCCUCUACUUUUGUAUGUGUGUUAAUCAGGAAGACAAUGAAUUGGAGAUUCUUGAAAUCAUUCAUCAUUUUGUUGAGAUUCUUGAUCGUUACUUUGGAAGUGUUUGUGAGCUGGAUUUGAUCUUUAAUUUUCAUAAGGUAUGUUAUUUUAUCAGAAAAAGUGAAACAGUUUUCGUUUUUGGAAAAUUUCAUGGCAUACUACAUACUGGAUGAAGUUUUAAUAGCAGGAGAACUUCAAGAAUCAAGCAAAAAGACAGUUUCCCGUUUAGUAUCUGCACAGGAUUCUUUAGUGGAGGCAGUGAAAGAAGAAACAAAUUCUAUAAGCAAUAUAAUUGCACAGGCAACCAAGUAAACUCCACCUUCAUUUUUUUUGUGUGUGUGGAAUUGACUGAUUUACAUAUUCAUUUGAUUGAUUUGGUUUCAUAAAAUCUAGAAAGAGACGCAUAAACUUCAAAAUGAGUAUUUGCUGAUUCAUUCAUGGUGUAGGUGUAGUUGUAGGACCCGUUUUGUAUAACAGGUUGUACUGCAUUUUGCAUGCAACGAGACAAAAGUUGCAGCUUUUUAUCCCACCCAAAAAUGUGGACAGAUAAACAAACUGAUUUUAGUGAUGCUUUCAGUUA